CACUGACACUGUAUAUAAACCACUCGCUGCUUACUAAGGGGAUUGUUAGACUGAAAGUACUUGGACAAGCUUGCUUCACCUACCCACUGAUUUCAUCAGACAUUAAUUUUGAGGUUUGUUCAUCUUUUGAGGGCCUAAGACUAAUAUCUUUUAUUAUUCCUUUAAACUGCCAGUUGAAUACAAGGCUCAUUGAAUUAUUAAGUAUAUUCCUUUAAGCUUUUUAUGGAGUUUUCCUGUCUAAAUUUUUUGAUUUGUUUCCAUGCACCAGAUAUCCUGACCUGCACCUGACUUUCUGCCUUAAAAAUAAAACCAAGGGCACACCUAGCUUGAGACUAGCUUAGUUGUUGCCCUUGCUCUGCCCUCCAUGUGGGAUUUAUCUACUGUGUCCAUGUCAGUUCUCAAACUCAUCUUCCCUGGGGUCCCAAGUCUCCCUUUUCAAGCUCCCAACUCUAGAGACAGUUCAUCUAGUUGGAUGGACACUCACAAUGUAGCCCAGGUUAGCCUUCAACUUUAAUCUUCUUACAUUGGGUUCCAGGCAUGCAUCAUUAUACCAGGCCCUAGAUGUAAACCCUGAAAGAAUUUUUAGUUUCAAGAACACAUGAGGUUAAGGCUUUUCUACUCAUAUGAUUCAAAAGACUGUAACUAUUUCAAAGGGCUAGUCUAUGUUUUUUCUUUUUCUUUAAUUUUUUUAAAAAAGUACUAUUUCUAUGUAUUUGGGUGUUUGUAUAUAUGUAUGUGCACUAUGUAUGUGCCUGAUGCCUGCAUAGGCCAAAAGAAUCAUUAGAUCCCCUGGAGGGAUGAUUGUGAGCCAUUCUUUAGAAGAGCAACCCGUGCUCUAAACCGCUAAACCACCUUCAGCCUUGGGCCUCACAUUCUUUGAAGGAGUUUCUAUGUCCCCUCACUUUUCCUAUCAUGUACCACCAACUUGUUGCGGGCUUGGGGUUUCCCACUCGCACCCGUUUCUGAAAUGACUCUGAGACUUAAUUGUUUAUGAAUAAAUGCCUAGGCCAU
rnacentral:lncRNA from 1 species